rnacentral:rRNA from 1 species
CCUACGGGUGGCAGCAGUGAGGAAUAUUGGUCAAUGGACGAGAGUCUGAACCAGCCAAGUAGCGUGAAGGAUGACUGCCCUAUGGGUUGUAAACUUCUUUUAUAUGGGAAUAAAAUGUUCCACGUGUGGGUUUUUGUAUGUACCAUAUGAAUAAGCAUCGGCUAACUCCGUGCCAGCAGCCGCGGUAAUACGGAGGAUCCGAGCGUUAUCCGGAUUUAUUGGGUUUAAAGGGUGCGUAGGUGGGUUGUUAAGUCAGUGGUGAAAGUUUGCGGCUGAACCGUAAAAUAGCAGUUGAAACUGGCAAUCUUGAGUGCAGGAGAGGUAGGCGGAAUGCGUGGUGUAGCGGUGAAAUGCUUAGAUAUCACGAAGAACUCCGAUUGCGAAGGCAGUUCACUGGACUGCAACUGACACUGAGGCUCGAAAGUGUGGGUAUCAAACAGGAUUAGAUACCCGUGUAGUC